rnacentral:rRNA from 1 species
AAUAUGGGACAAGGGGGGGAACCCUGAUCCAGUCAUGCCGCGUGUGUGAAGUAGGUCUUAUGAUUGAAAAGUACUUUAAGUUGGGAGGAAGAGGUGUAGGCUAAUACGCUGCAAUAUUGACGAUACCAACAGAAUAGGGACCGGCUAACUCCGGACCAGCAGCCGCGGUAAUAGGAAGGUGGCAAGCGUUAAUGGGCAUUACUGGGCGUAAAGCGCGCGUCGGGGUUUCGUUAAGUUGGAAGUGAAAGCCCCGGGCUUAACCUGGGAAUUGCUUUCAAAACUGACGAGCUAGAGUACGGUAGAGGGUAGUGGAAUUUGCUGUGUAGCGGUGAAAUGCGUAGAUAUAGGAAGGAACAUCAGUGGCGAAGGCGACUACCUGGACUGAUACUGACACUGAGGUGCGAAAGCGUGGGGAGCAAACAGG